GUAUGUGAGGGAGAUCUGGCUGCAACAUCUGUCACCCCAUUGAUUCCCAGGGUUGAUUAGUCUGAUCUGACUGGCUAGGCGGGUGUCCCCUUCCUCCCUCACCCCUCUAUGUGUGUCCCUCCUGAAGCUGAGAGCUCAGUCAGGUCUAAGAGGAUGGUCUUCCUUAAGGGUAUACAAGUAGCUGUGCUCCCCUGCUAGAACCUCCAAACAAGUUCUCAAAAAUAGUCAAAUUUAUCUGUUGCUUUUCCUUGUUACAUGUCAGUUUCCACUCAGCAUAUGUAUAACUGUAAUUUGUGUUUCACCAUGCCAAGCCUUUAGGACUGC
ensembl:misc_RNA 7SK 7SK RNA